GACGAACGCUGGCGGCGUGCUUAACACAUGCAAGUCGAACGGAAAGGCCCUGCUUUUGUGGGGUGCUCGAGUGGCGAACGGGUGAGUAACACGUGAGUAACCUGCCCUUGACUUUGGGAUAACUUCAGGAAACUGGGGCUAAUACCGGAUAGGAUCUCCUGCUUCAUGGUUGGGGUUGUAAAGUUUCGGCGGUUGGGGAUGGACUCGCGGCUUAUCAGCUUGUUGUUGGGGUAGUGGAUUACCAAGGCUUUGACGAGUUGCCGGCCUGAGAGGGUGACCAGCCACAUUGGGACUGGAAUGCGGGCCAGAAUCCAAAGGGAAGGAAAAGUGGGGAGUAGUGCACAAUGGGCGGAAGGCAAGUGCAGCAAAGCCGGGAGAGGGAUGACGGCCUGUGGGUUGGAGACCGCUUUCGCCUGUGACGAAACGUGAGUGACGGUAAUGGGUAAAGAAGCACCGGCUAACUACGUG
rnacentral:rRNA from 1 species